rnacentral:rRNA from 1 species
ACUCCUACGGGAGGCAGCAGUGGGGAAUAUUGCACAAUGGGGGAAACCCUGAUGCAGCCAUGCCGCGUGUGUGAAGAAGGCCUUGGGUUGUAAAGCACUUUCAGUAGGGAGGAAGGUAGUGUAGUUAACACCUGCAUUAUUUGACGUUACCUACAGAAGAAGCACCGGCUAACUCCGUGCCAGCAGCCGCGGUAAGUACGGAGGGUGCGAGCGUUAAUCGGGAAUUACUGGGCGUAAAGCGCAUGCAGGCGGCCUGUUAAGUCAGAUGUGAAAGCCCGGGGCUUAACCUCGGAAUUGCAUUUGAAACUGGCAGGCUAGAGUCUUGUAGAGGGGUUAGAAUUUCAGGUGUAGCGGUGAAAUGCGUAGAGAUCUGAAGGAAUACCAGUGGCGAAGGCGGCCCCCUGGACAAAGACUGACGCUCAGAUGCGAAAGCGUGGGAGCAAACAGGAUUAGAUACCCCUGGUAGCGACUGA